CAGUGGCGGGGAAAGUUGGGGCUGUAGGUCAUGAGCUGGACGGGCGGAGCAGUAGCAGUAGCUGUUCGUUGCUGCUCGUUUGGGUGGAGCGGCUGACCGGCGGCGUCGAGCUGGUGGUGAGGCAGGUUGAGGGACUGAUUGGCAGAGGGUUUCUUUUUGGGUUUUUGUUCUAGUUUUUGUUAAGUUCACAUGGAGAAAGAUCUCAUGGGAUUUCAUCUGUAUGUUUCCAUGUCUUCUGAAGAUGAAGAAGAGGACAGGGCAGCCAUGUGAGUCAAGUUUUCUUUGAAUAAGAAGAAGAAGACUAAGUCUUCAUUAGGUCUUAAGGUGUAGUGUGUGUUCAUGGUGGUGCUGAGAUGAGGAGAUGGGGGAGGGGGUUCAGUGAUGGAGGGUUAUUAGGGGGUGGUGAGGUAUGAGGAAGAAGAUGAAGAGAGGAGGGUGCAUGGGUCCGGCGGCUAGGAGAAAGAGAUGGGGUGGCUUUAGG
rnacentral:lncRNA from 1 species